CAAAAACAUAGCCCUAGAUAAAAUCUAAGGUGUAACCUGCCCAGUGACUUUUAAAUAAAAGGAUAAAACCCUUAAAAUAAAGUUAAAAGGACGCGGUAACCUUGACCGUGAUAAUGUAGCAUAAUCACUCGCCAUUUAAUUGAUGGAUAGUAUGAAUGGUUGAACGAAUACUCCACUGUCUUAAAGAGAAUUAUAUUAAAUUGAAAUAAUAGUUAAGAUGCUAUUUUAAACUGUAAGACGAAAAGACCCUAUAGAGCUUAACUAUAAUCUCUUUACAAAAAAAUAAGAAAUUAAUCUUUAAACUAAAGAGACUGGUAGUUUAGUUGGGGCGACUGCCUUCUAAAAGAAACGAAGGCAAGCAAAGUUAAUAAAAUAACUUAUUGUAUAAUAAAAAAAUUUAACAAUUAUUAACGUAGGCUAUAUUGACCCGUUAAAAUAAUAUAAUAUAAUUAACGAUCAAUUAAUAAAAGCUACCUUAGGGAUAACAGGAUAAUUUUAUUUUAGAGUUCCAAUCGAAAAUAAAGUUUGUCACCUCGAUGUUGAAUUAUGA
rnacentral:rRNA from 1 species